AGUGAACGCUGGCGGUAGGCCUAACACAUGCAAGUCGAACGGCAGCACAGUAAGAGCUUGCUCUUACGGGUGGCGAGUGGCGGACGGGUGAGGAAUACAUCGGAAUCUACUUUUUCGUGGGGGAUAACGUAGGGAAACUUACGCUAAUACCGCAUACGACCUACGGGUGAAAGCAGGGGAGCUUCGGACCUUGCGCGAUUGAAUGAGCCGCUGUCGGAUUAGCUAGUUGGCGGGGUAAAGGCCCACCAAGGCGACGAUCCGUAGCUGGUCUGAGAGGAUGAUCAGCCACACUGGAACUGAGACACGGUCCAGACUCCUACGGGAGGCAGCAGUGGGGAAUAUUGGACAAUGGGCGCAAGCCUGAUCCAGCCAUACCGCGUGGGUGAAGAAGGCCUUCGGGUUGUAAAGCCCUUUUGUUGGGAAAGAAAAGCAGCAGGUUAAUACCCCGCUGUUCUGACGGUACCCAAAGAAUAAGCACCGGCUAACUUCGUG
rnacentral:rRNA from 1 species